CGUACCAUUUUUUUCAUGUUUGACGCUCCCUGUAAUCCUCGAUAACCAUUGUGUAAUUUCAGAAUUAAAUCCUUUUGUUUAGAUAGAUCAACUUUUUGUCCAUUUCCAGUAGUAAAAAUUAAUGUAAAAGAAACUAAUAAUUUUAAGAAAAUUAACAUGAUGUGAGUCCAGUAUAAACCCCAAAAACGGACUAAAGUUAUUCUGUCGUUUCCGGUGGAUGAAGGUGUA
rnacentral:lncRNA from 1 species